UCCGUCUUCUUCACUUCGGGCCAGGAACAGAUGAAAACGAAGGCAGUCGAUGAGGACUCCGGUGAGGCUGAGCGAUCGUGAGGGUGGGCAGGCGUCGACCUCCGGCAACCCUCGUGGGUUCAACCUCUGUCUCCGGCGAGCUCCUUCCCUGGUCAACUGUUUGACAUCGGCGGUCCAAACAAGGGAAUAGGAAGGGACGAACGUAAACAGUCCAAGAGAUCGUCUGGUGGAUCAAAAUCGCGAGGAGAGGGAAGGAAGGGCCCGUCAGGAUUGGCGACCCUUCGUGGGUUUACAUCUUCAUCAUCGGCGGCAGUUGUGGUGGUCGCUGUCGUCUGCGGUGGCGAGGGAGGCUGCUCCGGCGGCUCCUCUUAGAUGCUCUCCUCCAGUCGCCGGCCGCUGAACACGAAGGGGAAAGGUUCGAAUGGUCCAAUCGAUCGAACAAAGGUAGAUGUUCGGGGUUGCUGUUGGCUAGAUAAUCACAGAGAAUGGAAGCAAGGAGAAGACAGGUGAAGUAGAAGAGGCAGCUGCCUCUUGUUCACUCACUCGAAAACAACCUCUCCUUGGGGUUGUUCUUCUUCUUGAUGGUGACAGCAAAACUGAAUGUAAAGGAGGGUGUUUAGAGUUGGUUUAUCUCAUCAAGUGCAGGUGGAAAGAACCUAGAAUGGAUGAGGCAGCAACCUCUCUUUUGGGGUCUCGGUUUAUGCUUCCCAGAGAAGAAAUGGAUAGAGGGGUUCAGUGAGGAGGGAAACGUGAUAUUAUGAAGAGGAUCUACCUUUUUAACUUAUUGAAUUUUUGAAAAAGUUAAAGCUAAAAAAAAGUGUUUGGAUAAUUAAUAAGGACUUUUUAAAAUGAUUUUUCUUUUAGCAUUUGAAAAGGAGUUUUGAAGAAGUUAUAAUUUGUGACUUUUUGAAAUGACUUAGGCUGGAGGGUGUCGUGCUAUCGAAACCGCACUCCCUUCGUUGUCACGUAAGCGCCACGUCAUUUUUACCACAAAAGUGUGGUUCCCUGCCACACCCAAGGAGUGGUGCCACACUUCAUUUUAAAAAAAAAAAAUUAAAUAAAAACUUUAAUUUCUCCCCACCCAAUCAAAAAACAGUCAAAUUAUUUGCAGCCAAUCACAAGCCGCGGCCAUUUUUUGCCGCACUGCGGUUUGAACCACACGAAACCGCACUCAGGGGGCGGUGUUCCCUGCUGAGGUGGCGGCCAAGUGCGGUCUCAAACUGCACCACACCGUGCAGCCUUAUGACUGAUUAGAAUAAAAACAAGCAAAAGUCAAUAAGUUAGCCAAACACUUUUUAACUUAUUGACUUAUUGACUUUUGCCACUAAAAAACUAAUCCAAACACUUUUUUAAAAACUACUUUUCCCACAUUCAUAAGUCAAUAAGGGCUUUUGCAUAAAAGUCCUUUUAAACUUCAAAAUGAAAUCUCAAACACCCUCGAAGAUAUGAACUGAUUUCUGGCAGAUUUUACCAAAAUUUGAUCUUGAGAAUGUAUUGCAUUAUUGGUUUAUAUUUGUGCAUGUGGGUGCAAAUCUGCUCAAUUUCUUGUACUAGAUAUUGCUACGAGAUUGAAUGUAUUUUUGGUUGUAUUUCUUUUUAUAUACAUGUAUAUCUAUACUCAAGACUUGUAGAUACAUAUAUAUUUGAUAAA